rnacentral:rRNA from 1 species
GUACACUCCUGCGGGAGGCAGCAGUGAGGAAUAUUGGACAAUGGGUGGAAGCCUGAUCCAGCCAUCCCGCGUGCAGGAAGACGGCCCUAUGGGUUGUAAACUGCUUUUAUCUGGGGAUAAACCUACUUACGUGUAAGUAGCUGAAGGUACCAGAAGAAUAAGCACCGGCUAACUCCGUGCCAGCAGCCGCGGUAAUACGGUGGGUGCAAUCGUUAUCCGGAUUUAUUGGGUUUAAAGGGUCCGUAGGCGGACUGAUAAGUCAGUGGUGAAAUCCGACAGCUUAACUGUCGAACUGCCAUUGAUACUGUUAGUCUUGAGUAAGGUUGAAGUGGCUGGAAUAAGUAGUGUAGCGGUGAAAUGCAUAGAUAUUACUUAGAACACCAAUUGCGAAGGCAGGUCACUAAGUCUUAACUGACGCUGAUGGACGAAAGCGUGGGGAGCGAACAGGAUUAGAUACCCCAGUAGUCCCAU